GGGUGCCUACGGGGGGCAGCAGUGAGGAAUAUUGGUCAGUGGGCGAGAGCCUGAACCAGCCAAGUCGCGUGAGGGAAGACGGUCCUAUGGAUUGUAAACCUCUUUUGCCGGGGAGCAAAAAGCGGUACGUGUACCGCAUCGAGAGUACCCGGAGAAAAAGCAUCGGCUAACUCCGUGCCAGCAGCCGCGGUAAUACGGAGGAUGCGAGCGUUAUCCGGAUUUAUUGGGUUUAAAGGGUGCGCAGGCGGAUUUUUAAGUCAGCGGUCAAAUCGUGGGGCUCAACCCCAUCCAGCCGUUGAAACUGG
rnacentral:rRNA from 1 species